rnacentral:lncRNA from 1 species
AAUUUGUUUUCAGAAAUGUGUAUGCUUUGCCUAUUUUAUAUUUUACUUUACUAUUUUAUACUUACAGAAUACAUUUGGAUCCCCAUUUUAUAAAUAGAGAGAGACAGCAUGCAGGAGGAGGGGCAGAGGGAGUGAAAAAGAGCAUCUCAAGCUGAUAAUUCGGAUCUGAGUGUGGAGCUCGACGGGGGACCGACUUACCAACCCUGAGAUCACGACCUGAGCCGAAAUGAAGAGUUGGACACUUAACUGACUGAGCCACCGAGGUGCGCCUGUACUAGAUGUUUAUUCUAUAAUCAUCUUAUUCAAUCUUCACAAGACUCUAUAAGGUAAAUAUUAUUCUUGUUAUUCCCAUUUUACAGGGCCAAAAACAGGCAUGGGGAGCUUCAGUAACUGGCCCGGAUUCGACCUCUGGUGUAGAGGACAAAAAACGGACAUUGAAUUUUCAGACCUUGUCAUAUUGGUGCCAUCAGAUGUCCCUGUGACAGGAUACUGCAGCCUUUCAAAUGCCUCAAGAAUCUCCCUUGUGACCCAGCAUACCCAGAAAUGUGCAAGAAAGGGAAUUCUGGGAAUGAUUUCAGCAUCGUCGGGUUGACACAUUACAAAGCUACCUUAAUAUCAUUUCCAUUUGGUGAUGGAUUGCUUCUGUUCGGACCCAAU